rnacentral:rRNA from 1 species
AUGGAGGGGCGCAGAGGCAAAGCAGACAUCGAAGCAAGGGCGACGUGGGAGGAAUCAGGGGUGCCGGACAUGAACAACAGCUGCCUGAGGCUGGGAGCUCCGCAGCGGCGGUCAUGGCCCGCGGACGUGACAGCGAGGCAAGGGAGCUCGUGGCGGCGGCGUGCCUUCAGGAGCAAAGCAUGGGUGCGGGCGCGCGUGGAGAGGCUCAAGGUCGAGCUCCUGGUGCUCGACGAAGACGACGCGAAGGAUGAGGAGCCCGGCAGGGGAGCUAACGGAGGGGGAACGGAGGAGGUCGCAGAGGGCUUGGGGAGGUGCCGUACUUGCUGGAACUCGCGGGGUACGAGCAAGGCGCUGUGGAAACGACCCUGGCUCGGAGGGAGACCUCCUGGUGAAGACCCCAGGGAAGCAGGGAGCGGGGCGACAACAGUGGUGCUCCACUUCUCCUGGUGCUCCUCUGGCGAGGAGAGUUGGCGGCGGGCACGAGGGGCGUAG